rnacentral:rRNA from 1 species
UACGUAGGGUCCGAGCGUUGUCCGGAAUUACUGGGCGUAAAGAGCUCGUAGGCGGCCGGUUGCGUCUGCUGUGAAAUCCCGGGGCUUAACCCCGGGCGUGCAGUGGAUACGGGCUGGCUGGAGGCAGGCAGGGGAGAAUGGAAUUCCCGGUGUAGCGGUGAAAUGCGCAGAUAUCGGGAGGAACACCGGUGGCGAAGGCGGUUCUCUGGGCCGUAACUGACGCUGAGGAGCGAAAGCGUGGGGAGCGAACAGG